AAAGUACUCCCUCCGUCCGAAAAUUCUUGUCUUAGAUUUGUCUAGAUACGGAUGUAUCAAGUCACAUUUUAGUAUUAGAUACAUCCGUAUCUAGACAAAUCUAAGACAAGAAAUUUGGGACAGAGGGAGUAGUUG
rnacentral:pre_miRNA from 1 species